rnacentral:sRNA from 1 species
UAGAUCUAAAAAUAGUAAGGCAAUCCUAGGCUGUCCUAAUAUUAAUGUAGAAAGUGUUUUCUGAGAAGUCUCCCUAUAAAUCUUGGAAUUAUCUCAUGUUGUAGCUGGAAGGAUCUAGGGUCAUCUACUCCAGUAGUGUCUAAUUUGAAUGUCUUUUGAGGCCAGACAGAGAACUUCAGCCAACAAGUCUUCAGGUGCUCCUUCCUAUAGCAGAUGGUCCAGUUCACAGCCACAUCAGGAUAAAUAUAGGCUGAAUCUGGGAGAAAUACACAUUUUUCCUCACAGAUCACAACCACAGAAGGUAAAAAAGGAGAAAGAUACAGAGAUUCUUAAGAAAUAACAAGCAAACGAGUCUAGCUCCACAGUGAGAGCCUAUCAAACUAGUAAGUCACGAGUGACCAUGAGCCCUGGCUUCAGCUCCCAGUGGAACAGCAGCCAACCAGCCUGGAAUACAUACACCUUUCCAAGAGCCAGCCUGCACUACCAGUCCCAUGCCAGCUAUACCUACUGUACUGGACACCCUGCUGAUAAUCAAAGCAAAGAAGCCAUUUUUCACCUCUUUUCCAUUAUAAAUUAUCCCUUAGUAAUCCUUUUGUGAUUUUUGUAUUGGAAAUUGAGGGUUGGCUAAUUGAAGUUGGAUGUUCAGGGCAGAGUGUUGCAGCAUGUCCCAAUUUGUUGCCUUGUUUCUCUCUUCUCUCUUUCUAUGAUCUAUGGAGACUCCAAAAAGUUAUCUGGGGAAAAACAAUGGCACAUUUAACUCAGAUUCUAUUUCAGACAAGCUUAUCAAAGAAUUUCUGUGGAACAAGUACAGUGUUAUUCCUGACAGAAUUCUGUCGAGAUAGAUAGGACACAUAGGACUUAUCAAAGAGGGAAGCCCAUCACCUUUAUUAGUCUGGAACUUCCUUUUCUUCAAUCAACAGCAUAUGUGAACUUUCUUUUCAUGCUAGAAAUAUAGAAUAUAUCUUCCUUUUGAUUUUUGCAUAAAGUAUAAUAAUAUAGCUUUAUAAUAAAGUAUUUAAAUCUUCCCUUAUUAGGAACCAAAAGGUGUUUUCCAGUUGUUCUUUAAUUUCAUAAUGAUAUAAUGAAUGUGGGUGUAUGUAACACAGUGUAUAUAUGUGUAUGUGUAUAUGUACAUGUCAUUAUGUAUAUAUCUCCAUAUGUUUGUGAUAUGGCUUUUUUAUAAUUGUAUUAG